rnacentral:rRNA from 1 species
UUGGAGGGCAAGUCUGGUGCCAGCAGCCGCGGUAAUUCCAGCUCCAAUAGCGUAUAUUAAAGUUGUUGCAGUUAAAAAGCUCGUAGUUGAAUUUCGGAAUCAGUACGUUGGUCAUGCCCUAGGUAUGCACUGGCGUCACAGGUUUCUCCCUUCUGACGAACCGUGAUGUCAUUAAUUUGGUGUUGCGGGAAAUCAGGACUGUUACUUUGAAAAAAUUAGAGUGUUUAAAGCAGGCUCACGCUUGAAUACAUUAGCAUGGAAUAAUGAAAUAGGACGUUUGAUUCUAUUUUGUUGGUUUCUAGGAUCGACGUAAUGAUUAAUAGGGAUAGUUGGGGGCAUUAGUAUUCAAUUGUCAGAGGUGAAAUUCUUGGAUUUAUUGAAGACUAACUACUGCGAAAGCAUUUGCCAAGGAUGUUUUCAUUAAUCAAGAACGAAAGUUAGGGGAUCGAAGACGAUCAGAUACCGUCGUAGUCUUAACCAUAAACUAUGCCGACUAGGGAUCGGAUGAUGUUAACUUUAUGAUGACUCAUUCGGCGCCUUACGGGAAAC